UGAUGACCAAAGCUUAGCUGUUAAACCAUCAUGUAUUCCCUUUGGAGUCCCCAACAAGGUUGACUCAGCUAUUUUCCCUUUCAACAUAGUCAUAUCUCUAUAAAUGCUGGCAAGAACAGCAGGUGCAAGUGCAAUUCUAUUACCUCUAGCGACAUGAAUUACAAUAGAGAAAACAAGUUAAAUGCUUCAUGCUAAAUCUCGCUGCCACUAUCCAUGAAUUUCCUCAUUCACGACAGAUUACUGGCCUUCUUAGCAGGUGUCCUUGUCAUUUCUACUGUUGCAGUCUGGAAAACUGGAACUUCUCAUUACAAUACGAUAUUAAUUUCUCCAUCCAGAA